rnacentral:rRNA from 1 species
GCAAGUCGAGCGGACCGACGGGAGCUUGCUCCCUUAGGUCAUCGGCGGACGGGUGAGUAACACGUGGGUAACCUGCCUGUAAGACUGGGAUAACUCCGGGAAACCGGGGCUAAUACCGGAUGCUUGAUUGAACCGCAUGGUUCAAUCAUAAAAGGUGGCUUUCAGCUACCACUUACAGAUGGACCCGCGGCGCAUUAGCUAGUUGGUGAGGUAACGGCUCACCAAGGCGACGAUGCGUAGCCGACCUGAGAGGGUGAUCGGCCACACUGGGACUGAGACACGGCCCAGACUCCUACGGGAGGCAGCAGUAGGGAAUCUUCCGCAAUGGACGAAAGUCUGACGGAGCAACGCCGCGUGAGUGAUGAAGGUUUUCGGAUCGUAAAACUCUGUUGUUAGGGAAGAACAAGUACCGUUCGAAUAGGGCGGCACCUUGACGGUACCUAACCAGAAAGCCACGGCUAACUACGUGCCAGCAGCCGCGGUAAUACGUAGGUGGCAAGCGUUGUCCGGAAUUAUUGGGCGUAAAGCGCGCGCAGGCGGUUUCUUAAGUCUGAUGUGAAAGCCCCCGGCUCAACCGGGGAGGGUCAUUGGAAGCUGGGGAACUUGAGUGCAGAAGAGGAGAGUGGAAUUCCACGUGUAGCGGUGAAAUGCGUAGAGAUGUGGAGGACCACCAGUGGCGAAGGCGACUCUCUGGUCUGUAACUGACGC